AAGUCAAGUCUGAUUGGCCAUACUUCAUUGGCGCUUGCGCAGUACGAAAUCAAAUUCUUAAGAAAUUUUUAGAUGGCUACUGUAUCAUGCAUCACACGGGGCAAGGGGGGCAGGCAUUAUAAAAAAGGCUUCUAGCUUCUACUAAAACUUUAGUAACUGUCAUUUUUUUUAUUUUCCGUAGGUAUCAGUAGUAAUUUUGAAACUUUUGAGAAAUUUUGUCAUGAAUAGGGAUCUACAGUCAGAAAUAAAUAUGAUCCUCUUUGGUAAUUACAAAAGGCUAAUGUUAUGGGCACUUCAUGAAAAGGGUAUAUUUGCCUCCUUUCAAAGGGCAAGAGGGGCUGUUGCCCCCCCCCCCCCGACACUCUCCUCUUCGGCGUACCUGAUCUGAGCAAUUUAAGUAACUCGUCACGAGCCUCUUUUCAAUUAAAAUGACAUUGACAUAGCAUAAUCAGAUAGAUAAUAAUAUUUUCUGUUGAAAAUGGCUUAUUCUUCGAAUAAUAUAUCUUUCUUCUUCAACACUGAAACUUGUGUUUUUCUUCUUUGAUGUCCCCACAUCGAUAUUUUCAUCUACGUUUUAUGUCCCCGGUGCAUGACAUAACGCUCUUGAUAAUCCGAAAGUCUUAUAAUAGACACUGGCAUGAAUUUCAACGAAAAUGAACUAAACAUUUGGAAAAGCAUUGCCUAGAAAAUAACACUAUUGUAACUAUCAACAUGUUUUUUCUGAUAGAGCUGCUUCUGUUGUGAGUGCAUAGAAAAACUGUGCUACAAACGCUCAUACCAAACACGAUAUCGGCAACAUGACAGGUACGGGGAUAGCAGCAGAAGAAUUCCAAGAAAUCACAACAGUUCUGCAUGGAGAUGUGGACCAUACGAUGAAAAAAAGAGACAUGACAACAAGCAGUGUCAAUGGAAUCAAAUCGAAACUAAUUCACUGGCAGUCCAGUCUGUUCCACAGUUUAUACACCCUGUAAAGUAAGUCAUUUCAGUUUAGAAAAGAGUUUGUCAUUCCCAGAAGGUGUUCAUAAAUAACCACUUCAAAUUUGAAUUUAUUUCAAAUCUUUGUAAAUAGUUUCAGAUGAGUCAAUAAAGCGAAUUAUCUUAUUUGCAGACUUAUUUGGCCAAAGAAACCGUACGAUUAUAUGUUCGCUGAAGGUGAAAAGCUUCUUCGCGAUUUUCCUGUA